rnacentral:lncRNA from 1 species
UCGCUUGUGUUCUUGUACGGGUUGCUUCCUGGCUUUAUUCUGUUGGUCUUCGGUUGGUGGUCUACCUGUCUUCUUCCUUCUCGGUUUCACGGAUGCCCUGUGCUGCUUCGGUUGGUAAGGAGGUAUUCAUCUUGAUUUUUUACCGAGGGUUGAGGAAGGUAUCUUCAUUUCAGGUAUUAUUUUAUCUUGAUCUAUUGUCGAGGCCG